CCCGCUGAACUAAAGCAUAUAAUUAAGCGGAGGAAUAGAAUAUAACAUUAAUUUCCUGAAUAGUGGCAGAACGAAAAGGAAAAAGCGCAUAGUGUACUAUCGAAUUACCCAAUUCGGAGUUGUACAUGACUACCAAUAAUACCCGAAUCUAGAUGGAGGUGUUAGGAAAAGCCCCCCAUUGGCGGUGAAAGGCCGCAGCAUCUAACGGAAGGUGACACAUUGCUAGUAAGCGGAGUCACAUUCCUUAGGCGUAGAAUGUAAAGAGGGUGGUAACUAUCAUCCAACGCUAAAUACUACAAGGAGACCGAUAGCAAACAAGUACCGUGAGGGAAAGUUGAAAAGCACUUCGGAAGGAGAGUUAAAAUACCUGAAAUCGCUAUGGUGGAAGCGUGUGCUAUAUUCUGUCAUUUCUCGAUACUCUCGAGGCUUGGCUUCCGCAUUCCUUGCGGUGCGAUCUAUUGGCAUUUAUGUCGAAGUAGCGACUGCAGGGUAUGUCCGAAUCUGGCACACGGCCCGUCGUGAAACACGG
rnacentral:rRNA from 1 species